AUUGAACGCUGGCGGCAUGCCUUACACAUGCAAGUCGGACGGUAACGGGCCUUCGGGUGCCGACGAGUGGCGAACGGGUGAGUAAUGCAUCGGAACGUACCUUUCAGUGGGGGAUAACGUAGCGAAAGUUACGCUAAUACCGCAUAUUCUGUGAGCAGGAAAGCAGGGGAUCGCAAGACCUUGCGCUGAUUGAGCGGCCGAUGUCAGAUUAGCUAGUUGGUGAGGUAAAGGCUCACCAAGGCGACGAUCUGUAGCGGGUCUGAGAGGAUGAUCCGCCACACUGGGACUGAGACACGGCCCAGACUCCUACGGGAGGCAGCAGUGGGGAAUUUUGGACAAUGGGGGAAACCCUGAUCCAGCCAUGCCGCGUGAGUGAAGAAGGCCUUCGGGUUGUAAAGCUCUUUCGGCCGGGAAGAAAUCGCACAGGCUAAUACCUUGUGUGGAUGACGGUACCGGAAUAAGAAGCACCGGCUAACUACGUGCCAGCAGCCGCCGUAA
rnacentral:rRNA from 1 species